UACGUAGGGCGCAAGCGUUGUCCGGAAUUAUUGGGCGUAAAGAGCUCGUAGGCGGUUCGUCACGUCGGCUGUGAAAUCCCGAGGCUCAACCUCGGUCUGCAGUCGAUACGGGCGGACUUGAGUACUGCAGGGAGACUGGAAUUCCUGGUGUAGCGGUGAAAUGCGCAGAUAUCAGGAGGAACACCGAUGGCGAAGGCAGGUCACUGGGCCGCAACUGACGCUGAGGAGCGAAAGCAUGGGGAGCGAACAGG
rnacentral:rRNA from 1 species